CUCCAUGUAAAAUAUAAACAAAAGAACAUUUCACAGUAAAAAUAACAAAAACACAGAACAUUAUAUAUAACAUAAAUGACAGAGAUUUGCAAGAAAUUUUCAUUACAACACCAAAACAUAAUAUUAUUACUACAUUACAAUUCAUUACAUUCCUUUUGUCAAAAAAAAUAAAGUCUGCACUUAAAGAAAAAAAGGUUCGAAUAGAUCCCUUAAAGAUAUCACUGUUAAUCAGUUUAAUCCUUAAAAAAGGUCCGAAAAGGACCAAACUGAUUAACGGAUAUGUCUUUAAGGGACUUAUUCGGACUUUUUUUUUUCUUUAUGGGAUCUAUUUAGACUUUUUUUUCUCUUUAAGGGACCAAUGUGAAACCAAAAAUGUUUUUAAGGGAUCAUUUUACUAAUUAAGAAAAAAAGAAAAUCAUUACAUUCCUAUUAUAACAUUACAUUUGAAAGAAAUAAUAAUAAUAAAAAAAUCGAUUAAUCAUAAUAAUCAAACUUGGGGAGGGUUAUAAAUUAUAACACCUCCCCAACCACAAACCUAAGGUGGACGAAUCCGCCAUAACCACCACCUCCUCCUCCCCAUUUUGAGGUAAGAGUGAAAGAGAAUGAAGGGGUUGGAUCCCUUUCGAUUGAUUAUAAUGAUCCUAAAAGGCCUCAAAAAAUCCCACGCCGAUUCACAUAAUGAUCUCAAUCGCCGCAAUCAAAAACAUUGCAUGCGUAAUAUCAUUAUGAUUAAUCGGCGACAAACAUUGAUGCCGUUUACGCCUAAAAUAACAAAACUACAACAAAACUAAGCUAAAAAUAAUUUGAGAGAAGAAAUGAAAACAAAGGCUUCAAUUUAUAGAAUUUUUGCUUGAAUUCUAU
rnacentral:lncRNA from 1 species